GCUCCCACUAUAAACUUAAAUAUGAGUCAUAAUUGCAGCUCAAACAAACGACUUAUGUGGGCGUUUUUUGGGGGAGGACAAACUCGUGGUUACUUUUAG